CAUUUUAUCAAGAUAUAAUUUCUAUAUUUACAUUUAUCUCUUUGUUCCAUUAUUUGUCCGCAAUGAUCGUUAAGACAAUUUAAAUGGGACUUUCAGAUUAUGACAAACUGUUUAUUAUAAUAAAAUUGCGAGAGGUUAUGCUAAACAUCUUUAGGGUUCAUUUAAAAAAAUUUUAAACGAAUUUAAUAAUUUUAUUUAAAUAACUAAUUGUGAAUAACCAUUCAAUAUAGGUAAUCAUUUUCAAUCGCAUCAAUUGUUCCAAAAAUAAUUAGAGUAAUUCAAGGGUCGGUAUAAUUAUAAUACUGAAAUUAUAUAAUUGAUCAGUUGUGAUGGAGAAUUUCCCACAAUUGUAUAUUAUAGUUUAGUAUGAAUUGACGUAUCAAUAUGAAGUGGGCAACAAUUAUAAGAAAUAAUAUUUCUAAGUACCUACGUAUAAGGCAUUCUCGAUAAAGUAGAUUUCUUCAUGAAUAUCAGCUGUCUUCAAUGAUGAGAUGCACGUCGUACGGUCCGAACAUGCCGAAGUUGGCGAGGAAGCUUGCUGGGAGCCCUGUGACGCCAUGGAACCAUAACAACAGAGGUCUUUUAGUUGGGGUCUCGGCAAGGGUUGGGUAAAACCACCAGAAGACGUCACCUUUGCCACGGCGGAUCAUCAGAGGACACCAACCACCAAAUCAGAACGCCAAGCCCGGCAACAGCAACAAGACCUAUUGCAACUAAAAUAAAAAUAGUUACUUUGCGCAUGACUCUUAAUUGACUUACAUUCACAUUCACGUCGAACUGUUG